GACAGAGGCCUCGAGCGUUAGGCGGAAUCACUGGGCUUACAGAGUUCGUAGGCGGUCCAGAAAGUGGGGUGUGAAAGCCCUCGGCUCAACCGAGGAACUGCGCUCCAAACUACUGGGCUAGAGGAAGAUAGAGGUGAGCAGAACUGAUGGUGGAGCGGUGAAAUGCGUUGAUAUCAUCAGGAAUACCGGAGGCGAAGGCGGCUCACUGGGUCUUUUUCUGACGCUGAGGAACGAAAGCUAGGGGAGCAAACGGG
rnacentral:rRNA from 1 species